GGGCCAGACUCCUACGGGAGGCAGCAGUGAGGAAUAUUGGUCAAUGGUCGGGAGACUGAACCAGCCAAGCCGCGUGAGGGAUGAAGGUACAGAGUAUCGUAAACCUCUUUUGUCAGGGAGCAACGCCGGCUACGUGUAGCCGGACUGAGAGUACCUGAAGAAAAAGCAUCGGCUAACUCCGUGCCAGCAGCCGCGGUAAUACGGAGGAUGCGAGCGUUAUCCGGAUUUAUUGGGUUUAAAGGGUGCGUAGGCGGAAUGCCAAGUCAGCGGUAAAAUCGCGGGGCUCAACCUCGCUCCGCCGUUGAAACUGGCGUUCUUGAGUGGGCGAGAAGUAUGCGGAAUGCGUGGUGUAGCGGUGAAAUGCAUAGAUAUCACGCAGAACUCCGAUUGCGAAGGCAGCAUACCGGCGCGCAACUGACACUCAUGCACGAAAGCGUGGGUAUCGAACAGGAUUAGAUACCCUUGUAC
rnacentral:rRNA from 1 species